GGGGAAUUAGUUCAGGGGCAGAACGCCAGUUUCCGGUACUGGAUGUCAUCGGUUCGAUUCCGUUAUUCUCCACCA
rnacentral:tRNA from 1 species